AGUUCGUGAUGGAUUUGCUUUUUUCUGAUU
rnacentral:piRNA from 3 species